rnacentral:rRNA from 1 species
UACGUAGGGGGCUAGCGUUGUCCGGAAUUAUUGGGCGUAAAGCGCGUGUAGGCGGUCCGGUAAGUCGGUUGUGAAAGUCCAGGGCUCAACCCUGGGAUGCCGACCGAUACUGUCGGACUAGAGUUCGGAAGAGGCGAGUGGAAUUCCCGGUGUAGCGGUGAAAUGCGCAGAUAUCGGGAGGAACACCAAUGGCGAAGGCAGCUCGCUGGGACGUUACUGACGCUGAGACGCGAAAGCGUGGGGAGCAAACAGG